GCGGGCAUUGUCCUAGUCUUAACUGAACUGAGCAUCACGUGGGACCUGGACUCCUGUGAGAUAUCCAUUAUAACAUUUAGUGAUGACACUCUGGACAUAAUAUUUUUGAUUUAGUGUUGUUUUUCUUAUAUUAUUUAUAUGUACUCGGUUAACUCCUACGGUGUGAUUGUUAUCGCCUUGCAUACAAACCAAGUAAUGCUUCAUAUCUUUGGAUUUCCAUACCGCCCAUAUAUUUAUUCAUAUAUGCUUCAUAAAUUUGUAUGUAUAUAAUAUUCAUACUAUCUUUUGUUUAUGUCUUUUUUUUGAAACAUUUUGUUUAUAUGUCUUUGAUACUAAUGUGAGGAAUCAAUAGUAAAUUAGUAAUUACUUAUUCAUGACAAAUUUGACUUAUUCUGCUGUAGUGCAAUGGAUGAAUUAUGCACAAGAUUUUCACUACCUCAAUUUUAACAAAUCACCACCUCAUCAUAUGUUUGGAUUCCGGAUUGUUGAUCCUAUGUUGCAAUAUCUGAAAAGCAUAUAUCAUCCCGCAGCAACGCGCGGGGUGCCAACUAGUACUCAUGAUGACUAUGCACCAGCUAUGUAUGGUUCUUUUUGAUUAUGAUUUUUUUACUCUUAGUUAUAUAUUUUUCUAGACGGUAUUCUCGAUUUUCGACUGCUAAUAUGCACAAAACUUUCUACAAUCGUAUGCAAAUAAACAUAGAGCUUUCCCAGAAUUUUCUGUGAUAAGUGCUUUGAAUUAUAUAUAAUGUAACUAUGACUUAAGUCACUAGCAACCUAUCCGGAAUUUGUGGAUUGUUGAUGUAUUCAAAUGAGAACAAGAUAUGUUACAUUUAUGUGUGUCGAUGGAUGCUGCGGUGUAUCCUCCUGCCGAUUCAUCCUCUGUGGGUUCUGCAUCGUCCCGCUUGACUUCGUCAUUGAUGCCGACGUGCUCCUCGCGGAACACCCAGCACACUCUUGUUCAGGUAUGACUAUCCCGUUCUGACUUCUGGGGGCCUCGGUCAGGUGAAGAUUUAGUGGCUUGCAGUUGAGUUAGGUGUGGCUGGAAAUUCAUCUCAUUGCAGACUGGUUAACCGAUCUAAUGACGGACAUCUUACACCUCUUGAAGUUGUGCUUGUAAUGAGUCCAAAUGUCCAACAAGUAUUCAUUAUCAGCUACAAGCUUACAACCUCCAAGGAUUUUGUCAAGCUUGGUGCGCAGAACACACCGUUCCGACUCUCCUGCAACCAAUCAACAGAUGAGUUAGAUCCACUUCUGAGAAGAGCAGCAACACUGUUGACGUUAUUUAAAACGUGAUAAUUCUGAGUGAUACUUAUGACCAGUGAAGAUUUAUAUGAAUUUCUUUUGUUACAGCUCGUGAGGGACCAAUAUAUCUACAAUUUAGACGAUAUGAUAGGCUUGAAGAAACAGGGUGAGAAUCAAAGCAAUAUAUAUUCCUUGAUCAGUCAUUUUAUCCUUGUUCAAAUAUCAGUGUGUCGGCUUGAAAGCUUGCACCAAGAAAUGGGAUCUCUUGUAAAAUUUUCCAUAUUUCUCUCUUUAGUCUUUCAGAUUUUUGCACCAAGAGAGUAAAAUUCUCUGGGAAGUAUUUUGUCCCGCUGCUCCAAUAUGAUCCAACUUAUGUUAUGAUGUAGUUAUUCUGUUUAAUCUUUAUAUUUUAUACACAGGGUCACUUAUUGGAUUCUUUGUGUCGCAGACACUUGGUUACUACAGUGCUGGGACAGAAGUGGAGCAUGGCAUCAAUCUUGUCGAGCCGGUCACGGCAGGGCCGCUUCCUUCCGGCAACGAGGAAAUUGGGAGAAGGUAUGAGCUACCACCGAUAAAUUCGGAGCCCCUUUCAUCUAGGCCGAAAGCCAACCACGUGAUUGUCGCUGACGCGUCCGCAUCUCCGGCCACCAACGGUUCAUGCCGGUGCCUAUCAGCUCCACGGGCUCGUUGACGAUUUGUCAAAGGAGCCACAAGUUAAAAGAGAUCUCAUGAUUACAAAGUUAAGCGUAGAGCCAGAGGUGAGGUUAGAAUUUGUUUACUCUUUUGCUUAUUUCUCCAUCUCUAGUGCUACAUGCAGGUGAUGGGUUUGGUUGAUAUUUUGAGACCAAAAUUGGUUGAUCUUUAACUUCUACAUUUUUUUAGUUACCACUGUCCCUAUGUUAGCUGUUAAGCAACAUCAGACCAAUAUCUCCGAAAGGAUUUGUAUCUACAGGAAUAGCAGUGCAAUGUAAAAUUAUACAUGUUGAGCUACCAACUGAGAAUGUUGAUUACAGUUAGCAGUUUUCCUUGCCAUUCUUCUUAACUGUUAUCUCAUUUGGUUAGCCACACACUGAUUUAGAUGGUUACAACUCAUGGAUAAUUGCCUAGCAGGCCAUACUUUUCUCCCAUGAUCAUGAGAAAAGAUGAUGAUACUUAUGACUUGAAAGGAUAUCAUCACACAUUUUGAUGUUGACUAAUGUUAACCCAGGUAAUUUUUUCUUCACCCAGAUAUACCGGUAGGCCAUAUCUGAAGAAAUUUCCUUUUCUUGUGCAUACAUGCAACAUGGCUUUUCAAAAUUCCGGAAGGAUAGGUUGUUGAGUUGACAAUAUGAUGGCUCAGAACUUAUGUGCGGGGCUUACCCCGUAAGAGUAACAAGAAGACCUAGAAUUCGGAAUCACUUUUAUCA